rnacentral:rRNA from 1 species
UAACGACUCUCGACAACGGAUAUCUUGGCUCUCGCAUCGAUGAAAAACGUAGCGAAAUGCGAUACUUGGUGUGAAUUGCAGAAUCCCGUGAACCAUCGAGUCUUUGAACGCAAGUUGCACCCGAAGCCAUUAGGCCGAGGGCACGUCUGCUUGGGCGUCUCACA